GGUGGUAUAGCCCAGUGGUAGAGCACAUGCUUAGCAUGCAUGAGGGCCUGGGCUCAGUACCCCCA
rnacentral:tRNA from 1 species